rnacentral:misc_RNA from 1 species
CUCUCUUCAACGGUGCUAUUGCUGGAACUUGCUCCAUUUUUAGGCCUAUGUCCAUCUUCAUCAUUUUCUCCACUCUCACUCUCAUCUUGAUUUUGUCUUGUCUUGGAGCAUCCAGUUUGGUCACUUCCCUCCAUAUUUCUUUUUUGCCUCUCUGCUUCUUUUCUUUCUUUCUUUCCUUCCAAACCUAAGACUAAAAUAAG